UUCUAUGGAGCCUGCGUAGUGCACUACAGCGCGGGUGUGGGCCGCACCGGCACCUUCACGGCUCUGGACCGCCUGCUGCAGCAGCUGGACACACACGACACAGUGGACGUCUAUAGUGUAGUGUUUGAUCUGAGGCUACACCGCACACACAUGGUGCAGACCGAGUGCCAGUACGCGUUCCUCUACCAGUGUGUGCGUGAUGUGCUGCGGGCCAGAAAGCUGCGCAGUGAACAGGAGAACCUGCUGUACCCCAUCUAUGAGAACGUCCAUCCAGACACACACAGAGAUCUGCUGUACUCCAAGCGCUGAGCCGGGCGGUGUGCUCUCUGAUGUUCUGUGUGUGUGUGUGUGUGUGUGUGUGUGUGUGUGUGUGU